UACGUAGGUGGCAAGCGUUGUCCGGAUUUACUGGGCGUAAAGAGCGCGCAGGCGGUCGUUCAAGUCGCGUGGGAAAGCCCCCGGCUCAACUGGGGAGGGUCACGCGAUACUGAUCGACUCGAAGGCAGGAGAGGGUAGUGGAAUUCCCGGUGUAGUGGUGAAAUGCGUAGAUAUCGGGAGGAACACCAGUGGCGAAGGCGACUACCUGGCCUGUUUCUUGACGCUGAGGCGCGAAAGCUAGGGGAGCAAACGGG
rnacentral:rRNA from 1 species